AACGAACGCUGGCGGCAUGCCUAACACAUGCGAGUCGAACGAGACCUUCGGGUCUAGUGGCGCACGGGUGCGUAACGCGUGGGAACCUGCCCUUAGGUUCGGAAUAACUCCCCGAAAGGGGUGCUAAUACCGGAUAAUGUCUUCGGACCAAAGAUUUAUCGCCUUUGGAUGGGCCCGCGUUGGAUUAGCUAGUUGGUAGGGUAAAAGCCUACCAAGGCGACGAUCCAUAGCUGGUCUGAGAGGAUGAUCAGCCACACUGGGACUGAGACACGGCCCAGACCCCUACGGGAGGCAGCAGUGGGGAAUAUUGCACAAUGGGCGAAAGCCUGAUCCAGCAAUGCCGCGUGAGUGAUGAAGGCCUUAGGGUUGUAAAGCUCUUUUACCCGGGAUGAUAAUGACAGUACCGGGAGAAUAAGCUCCGGCUAACUCCGUG
rnacentral:rRNA from 1 species